rnacentral:tRNA from 1 species
UAGCUCAGUCGGUAAAGCGUCUGCCUACGAUGCAGGGGACCCAGGUUCGAUUCCUGG